AACCUUCUCUACUUUUUUUUCAAAGAAAAUAAUAUAUUAUUCCUUUCAUUUAUUUUUAAAAAAAUAAAUUUAACUAUAAAUAUACAAAAUUAGGCUUCGAACUUAAGGCAUCGGUAGUACUUAGAUACUAACUAUUAAAUCUUUCGUCAAUUGGACUAGGUAUAGCCGAUAACUUCUACAAAAUGGUUAGAAGCAUCACAUUACUUAAAAAAAAAGAAAAAAAAAAAUAGUACACUACUUGUUUUAUUUAUUUAGCAAAUAAAUUUGGCUUCAGAGAUUGAGCCAACACGGCCUCAAAAAAUAUUGAAGGCAACCAACACAAAAAAGACAAAUAAAAGUAAAAAAAAUCGUAAGAAAAAUCGUAAAAAAAUUGCUAAUUUCACUCCACACUCAAAACUAAGUCUCUAAAAGUUGCAAAACUCAGUCCAUUUCGUGCUCAUGUUUUAGAUUCAUCUAAUAGUCAAAAAAGGGUCAAAUAAUUGAUUCCUAAAAAUUAUGUCAUUUCUUUCCCGUAAAAUCAUUCACCAAUAGAUUGCGACCCUGAUUAGAUCCUUCCUAUUCUCCCUUGGCGGUGGUGUCCAACCAGAAGCUUCUAGACAUUCCUGACCUCUAUCUCGGGCCCCAAGAUAUGCCUACUUUUUAGGAUGUUGAACAUUAAAAAUCUGUUGAUUACGCAUCCAUUACAUUAUUUAGAAUUUUCUUAUUAAAAAUAUAUAGAACUUUUAUGAACCAUAGUCUAUUUUGAGUUGGCUACUCAACUACUCAAAAUUUUGAUUUUACUGUUAAACUUUUUAAUUUUUUCUUAUUUGAUUCAGUUAACGAUACUUUAACUUUUAAAUUUAAAUACAUUAUUUAUUUUUUAAAAUAUUUAGUUAGGACACUUUAUAUAAUUUUAUAAUUUUCGCAACUAUAAAGUUAUUAAAAUAAUUACUUUAAAUUUUAAAAUCAAUAUAUUAUUUAAUUAAUUUAAAUCAAAUAAAUUAAGAAAUUAGAUAAUAAAAUUAUAUUUUUUAAUUUUUAAAUUGUGGAUUCAAAAUGAUUCAUAAUUAUUAUUUAUU
rnacentral:lncRNA from 1 species